rnacentral:misc_RNA from 1 species
UCCAUCAUCCAACCAAUAUCAAGAAAUUAAUCCAAAAAUAAAGUAGCAUAUUGCAAUGAAUAUUGCAACCUCAUAAAGCUUUACAUCAAAAUAUCCUAUGAAUUAUCUAAUAUUUCUCCUAAUAAUAAGAGUAAUAAUAUAACUAAAAAGCUUCGAAGAUCUCUCAAGUUGUUCAAUAAUUAUCUUGACUGGGUUCAUGGCUUGAGUGAGAAGAAUGAUUGUUUGGAGAAUGCUGAUCACCUUCACUUGCAUUGUCACCAACCUGAAACAGAUUGCAAAAUUGUGUUUGUAGUUGUCCAGGAUAUUUUUGAGAAAUGAAUCCGUAUAACAUUUUUAGUACUUCUUUUAAUUGAGCAUAAUCAUUGUUCACUGUUUGAAGUUUCCCUUUCAACUCUUCUAUCUCUUUUAACUGAUUCCCACUAAUGGUAAACUCCCAUCUUGAUCCUACAUUUUGGGUUGUCACACCAAAAUAACUUGAAGGAGUUGGUCCAAGACCCAUACGUCGCACUCGACCAUUAUGCUCUGGACCCAUAAGUUCUUGAAAAAUUUGUUCAUGCAAUUGUGCUAAAUCAGUCCCAGAUCUUUCACUUCGCUCAGCUAUAAGAGCACGAGCCUUUUCCAUCAAGUCUCUGAUAUUGUCAUCCACAUAAGUGCCAUCUUUUCUCUUAUGGGUUACUUCAAAAAAUUCAAGUCUGUCUGGUGCUUUCCCAUUUGUCUUUUCCAUUUCCUUCAUCAAUCUUGCAUAACUUUUUCUACCCGUAGUAUGUGCAUUCUUUUGCUUUUUAGCAUUUGCAGUAUUGAUGGAACUCAUUUUCUCAAGAAGUUUCAAUAUCUGGGCAUGGAAUGGUUUAAACUCUUCUUUAUCCCAUCUAGUAAUAUUUAGAGGUGCAUAAAUGCCAUUGGUGGCAAUGGUUCCAAGAAAGGAUCCAACUAUGGCUGCUUCUUUUGAACAUGGUACUCCAAAUUCAUUCACUUCUAAAAAUAUCCUUUCGUUCUCAUCCAUGUUCCAAAUUGCAGCCAUUGUAGUUUUUCCACGUUUUCGGAAUCGCCUUCCACGUCCAUCAAUCAUAUUAGUGAUAUCUUCCUGAUUCACUUGAUUAGUUUGACUUUCAUGUUCAAAAGAACUCCUUGUUUGGUGCACUUCUUCUUGUUGGACUUCACCGGUAGAUUGAGAAUCAUUGCUCAUAAUCCUCAAACCUUGUAAGCUUCUAGAUCUUUGAAUCAUACUUUCAGCAGUAGAAUGAUGAUUAUAGCAUAAAUCACCACCAAUGAUGAAUAACCAGACCACCGAUGCCUUAGACACUGAUGAGUACCAGCGGAAAUCACCAAAGCUGAACCACGGAUAUUGCUUUGUGUGUACCCAAAUGAAUACAAGCAGAACAAUGAUGAAUUCUUUGACUACCGAUGCCUUAGAGAUUGAUAAGUGUCAACAGAAAUCACCAAAAUUGAACCAUGGCUGACGCUUUGUAUACCCAGUCGAUACUGCGUUUUUUUUUUUCAGAGAAAAUAGAUGGAGAACGGUUAGGGAAAAAUAAGAUUUUGAGUGCAUUUUUUUAGCGGAACGAGGACUCGUGCGUGGAAACGCCUUUUAAU